rnacentral:lncRNA from 1 species
UCGGUGAUGAGAGGAAAUCUUUAUUGUGAUAUCUAAGAAUGGUAACUCCUUUUUACUUUUUUUACACUUUCAAUUAGAUAGAUGGAUUUAGGGAAAUCAGAAUCUGGUGGAAUUAAAUAAAUCAGUUUUAGAUUUUGUCCGUAAGAUGAAGUAGUGGUCUCGAAAUCUUUUCCAUUUUUCGAUUACGUAUUCCUUUAAAUCCUAAUCAAAACUGUCACCUAUUUCAGUGUAC